UACGUAGGGACCAAGCGUUGUUCGGAUUUACUGGGCGUAAAGCGUGCGCAGGCGGUGAUGUAAGACCGAUGUGAAAUCCCCCGGGCUUAACCUGGGAACUGCAUUGGUGACUGCAUUGCUGGAGUAUGGCAGAGGGGGGUGGAAUUCCACGUGUAGCAGUGAAAUGCGUAGAGAUGUGGAGGAACACCGAUGGCGAAGGCAGCCCCCUGGGCCAAUACUGACGCUCAUGCACGAAAGCGUGGGAGCAACAGG
rnacentral:rRNA from 1 species